GCCUUCGUGGUGUAGUGGUCAGCACACUCGAUGCAUAUUCGAGAGGUCCCUAGUUUGAGUCCCGGCGAGGGCA
rnacentral:tRNA from 1 species